CUCUCUAGAAACCGUCCCUUCCAGCUCCAUGAGGGGUGAACUCUGAGCUCAGAGGCCAUGGGGCGAAGUGCAGAAAAUGGCUUUAAACUCUGGGAGGAGGAAGGAAGCCACCCUCCAGAAAGGAGUAAGAACCGCUCUGGAACAUUCCCAAGAAAGGUCGCUGGGGGGCAGACCUGAGUGGCUACGCGGACCCGGCGGACCCGGCGGACCCAGAUCCCCCGCAGGGCAGCCCCUGCAGCCAGCGGGCUCCGACUCUCGCUCUUCAGCGAACACCGCCCUUGGCGCCACGCCCACCUCCACCCGCGGCCACCUUCCUUCCCUCCCACCGCCGGACCUUCAAGACAGGAUCUACCCCGGGCGGCCCCCAGCACGGGUCUCAGCCCCCUCCAGACUGGGGUUCUCGCCACCCUGCACUGAAAUGGCGGCAGCCAGCUCCCUCCUGCCGCAGCCGGUGGCAGCCAGCUCCGGGCCUGGCUGGCCCCGCCCACCCUGUGUCUCGCGUGGCACCCACUGCGCUGUUCCUGUCCCGCCUGUCUUAUCGUGACCUCACCCGGCUCCAGACUCUCACAUGUUUACGCCUUCAGCCCUGCCCAGCCCUGGACCCCAAGUCCCCUCCAGUAUUUCUUUUUCCUUUCUUUUCUUUUCUUUUUUUUCUUUUUUUUUUUUUUUGAGAGAGUUUCGCUCUUGUCGCCCAGGCUGGAGUGCAGUGGCGCGAUCUCUGCUCACCGCAACCUCCGUCUCCCCAGUUCAAGCGAUUCUCCUGCCUCAGCCUCCCAAGUAGCUGGGAUUACAGGCCUGUGCUACCACGCUUGGCUAAUUUUGUAUUUUUUACGGGGUUUCAGCAUGUUGGUCAGGCUGGUCUCGAACUCCUGACCUCAAGUGAACCAUCCGCCUUAGCCUCCCAAAGUACUGGGAUUACAGGCGUGAGCCACUGCGCCUGGCCAUCCCCUCCAAUAUUUCUGAGGCCACCUGCCCAAAGGGGGGUUGGGUGGAGAGGACGGGGCCAGCAGCAGCAGGCCUGGGCCAGGAGACAGGCACACACCUCCGCGGUCUCUGGCUUGUCUAUGUCCACACAGCGGAAAGACCUCCAACCCCCAGCCACCUGCAGCAGCCCCACAUCUCCACUGGGUCACCCUGUUGAGAUCAAGAAUGCCUCCUCCAAUGUCCCAACCCAUGAGGGCUUCUUGGAGCUGAGCCAGGGCACCCGCCACUUCUGGAUGGGGGCUCCUCAUGACUUCUGACCUCUGUCUCGCUGGUUGGCAAGAGAAGACUGGACUCCUUCUGCAGGCCUCAGGGCAGAGGCAGAUGUCAGCCCCCAGGGAUGUCACUGCCAGAGCCCCAGAUGCCCCAAGCCACCCGGACCCCCCCUCCCCCUUGCAGUAUCUCUGCUACAAUAAAAUGUACACAGAUCUGAACCCUCUCACCUGGGCGACUGCCAAUGUCCCCUACGGCCCUAGACCCCGCCCCCAGGAGCCCAGGGGAUCUUUCUUUUUAAAGAUAUUCAGACCUCACAGAUAAGUCUGCCCUGGCCAGCCGCUCCCCAGUUCCCAGGCCCUAUCCUGACAAUGGCCACCACUUCAGAGCAGCUGAAACCUGCUGUGAGUGAAAAAUGAGAAGCUGUUGUUUUAAUUUUACUUUCUCUGAUUACUAAUGAGGUUAUUUCUUCUCUGCAUAAAAACUUCAUUCGUGUUUAAUUGGAUUUUUGUCUUUUUGUUAAUGUAUAGGACCUCCUUUUGUUCUUACAUAUAUUAUGAAUUCAAACUCUUGUAGAUAAAGAUUAAUGUUUAGAGGCAAAAUCAUGGUUCUCAUACAAAAUAAAAAUUGAACACACCUAAGAUUUUAUUUAACUCAUUAAUAAGGGAACCAGUAAGAUGUUAAAACCAGUUCAAAGGAGAAUCGGAAGGACAGCUGUGUAGGCAACGAGGAAAGCCGAAACAGAUUUGCUUAUUGGUGCAAAGUGCUUAAUAUCGUAGAGGGCAAUAAAGUGUACUGUUUGGGAUUAUCUUUUCCAUGGGACAGAAUUCAAUUCAAUCUCUAUGGAGCAAAAUUCAUUUGCAUUCUAUGGGCUGGAUCAUUGGCCUUAUAAUUGGUUUUCUAUAAGUUAACUUCUCCCCUGACAGAGCUGUAAAAUAGCUUAGUCCAUAGCAUAGCAGUUGAAGAAGGACCCCAUGGAAUCAGAUCAUUCCCAGCGGGGUCACUAGACAGAUACCACUCAGCCACUCAGCACACCACUGAAAGGACACCCCCCGUAAACCCAUUUCCAAGCCUAUGACAUUUUUUUCCUCUAUGUCACUUACCUUUUCACUUCGCU
ensembl:lncRNA